rnacentral:rRNA from 1 species
UACGUAGGGUGCGAGCGUUGUCCGGAAUUAUUGGGCGUAAAGGGCUUGUAGGCGGUUUGUCGCGUCGGGAGUGAAAACCUUGGGCUUAACUCAGGGCUUGCUUUCGAUACUGGCAGACUAGAGGUAUGCAGGGGAGAACGGAAUUCCUGGUGUAGCGGUGAAAUGCGCAGAUAUCAGGAGGAACACCGGUGGCGAAGGCGGUUCUCUGGGCAUGAUCUGACGCUGAGACGCGAAAGCGUGGGGAGCAAACAGG